ACUUAUAUAAUAUAAAUAUUAUAUUUAACUUCCAAUUAAAAAAUCUAAUUAAAUUUAGUAUAAGUA
rnacentral:tRNA from 1 species